ensembl:lncRNA
CUAAUGGUACAGCCUUCGAAGCUCUCGUGUUUUCGCAUCGGAGACAGAGCAUGCUUAAUUGCCGGUGAUAUCAAGCUGCUUUUGAAUGGCGUCCACGGCGAUUCAUAAUGGCAAGUAAGAGACAACAGGAAUCUGGCGCAGAAAAGCGGAAAAAUAAAAAGCUGAGAGAUGACACCCGUGCAUCCCUUGUUGUUUUUCUCAGGGCCAGAGCGAGCCGAUUGCAACACAAGCAGCUGCUGGAAUUCCUUUAAAUAGCCCUGCCUGCCUCAUCGUAUGGUUGCCAUGGCAGCCAGCCCCCGGCUUCGAGACAACGUCCACAUGCUGGAGCGGAGCAACACUACACCUGUGCAGUACCGUACCCCGCCGCCGCUGGCCGCCUGCGGAGCAGAUGAAGCCACUUACCCGCGGAUAUGAAGGAGCAUAUUUGCACGCGCACGCAUACAUGCUCAUGGUUUUAAACUGAAAAUCUGUGAUGGAUGAAAAAAAUCGAUCAACAUCUGUGCUAUUAUUUUGUUUUAGCGUGUGUGUCUGUGUUUUGGGAAUGUGUAUUGAUCACGCCUAUAUAAAAAGGUAUGCUUGAUCAAUACAGGAAGCACCAAUUGUAAUUUAUAGCAAGGUGUUUAACAUAAAGGGAAGAGCUAGAGACAG